rnacentral:rRNA from 1 species
UACGAAGGGGGGCUAGCGUUGCUCGGAAUCACUGGGCGUAAAGCGCACGUAGGCGGAUCUUUAAGUCAGGGGUGAAAUCCCAAGGCUCAACCUUGGAACUGCCUUUGAUACUGGGGAUCUCGAGUCCGGAAGAGGUGAGUGGAACUGCGAGUGUAGAGGUGAAAUUCGUAGAUAUUCGCAAGAACACCAGUGGCGAAGGCGGCUCACUGGCCCGGUACUGACGCUGAGGUGCGAAAGCGUGGGGAGCGAACAGG